ACGAACGCUGGCGGCGCGCCUAACACAUGCAAGUCGAGCGAAGGGGAAACCCUUAGCGGCGGACGGGUGAGUAACACGUGGGUAUCUGCCCUCGAGUCCGGGACAACAGCUGGAAACGGCUGCUAAUACCGGAUGUGGCCAUGGCUAAAGCCUUAGGGCGCUCGAGGAUGAGCCCGCGGCGGAUUAGGUAGUUGGUGAGGUAACGGCUCACCAAGCCGACGAUCCGUAGCUGGCCUGAGAGGGUGGUCAGCCACACUGGAACUGAGACACGGUCCAGACUCCUACGGGAGGCAGCAGUUGGGGAUCUUGCACAAUGGGCGAAAGCCUGAUGCAGCGACGCCGCGUGAGCGCUAAGGCCUUCGGGUUUUAAAGCUCUUUUCAGAGGGCAGAACGCCUGGGAUCUUCCCGGGUCUGACAUCAACUCUGGAAUAAGCCCCGGCUAACUACGU
rnacentral:rRNA from 1 species